rnacentral:rRNA from 1 species
AAACACUGAGGCGCGAAUGCGAGGAACUUGUUCCGGAAGUGAGAAAAGCCAUGCUUUCAAGAAAAGCUUCGAUGUGUUGUAGAAAUUGCUCGUACCGUAAACCGACUCAGGUGAGUGGGGUGAAUAUCCUAAGGCGAUGGGGUGAAUUGUGGUUAAGGAACUCGGCAACUUAACACCGUAACUUCGGGAAAAGGUGUGCCCUCGAGAGUGUAGUUCCUUGCGAGUGAAGCUUUUGAGGGUCGCAGAGAAAUGGGAGUAGCGACUGUUUAUCAAAAACACAGGUAUGUGCAAAGUCUCAAGACGACGUAUACAUACUGACGCCUGCCCGGUGCUGGAAGGUUAAGAGGAUUAGUUAGCGUAAGCGAAGCUGAGAAUCGAAGCCCCAGUAAACGGCGGCCGUAACAAUAACGGUCCUAAGGUAGCGAAAUUCCUUGUCGGGUAAGUUCCGACCUGCACGAAUGGCGUAACGACUUCUCCGGUGUCUCAACCACAUGCCUCGCGAAAUUGAAUUCUCGGUGAAAAUGCCGAGUACCCGCAGAAAGACGGAAAGACCCCGUGAACCUUUACUGUAGCUUGGCAGUGAUUUUAGAGAACGCAUGUGUAGGAUAGGUGGGAGCCUUUGAAGCUUGGUCGCUAGAUCAGGUGGAGGCAACCUUGAAAUACCACCCUUGUUUUCUUUGAAAUCUAACCUGCGCCUUGAAACGAGGCGAGGGACACUGUCUGGUGGGCAGUUUGACUGGGGCGGUCGCCUCCCAAAAUGUAACGGAGGCGCGCGAUGGUCCCCUCAGCCUGAUUGGAAACCAGGCGUCGAGUGCAUUGGCAUAAGGGGGCUUGACUGCGAGACUUACAAGUCGAGCAGGUGCGAAAGCAGGCCAAAGUGAUCCGGUGGUCCCGCGUGGAAGGGCCAUCGCUCAACGGAUAAAAGGUACUCCGGGGAUAACAGGCUUAUUCCUUCCAAGAGUCCAUAUCGACGAAGGAGUUUGGCACCUCGAUGUCGGCUCAUCACAUCCUGGGGCUGGAGCAGGUCCCAAGGGUUUAGCUGUUCGCUAAUUAAAGUGGUACGCGAGCUGGGUUCAGAACGUCGUGAGACAGUUUGGUCCUUAUCUUCUGUGGGCGUAAGAGAUUUGAGUAGACCUGUCCUUAGUACGAGAGGACCGGGAUGGACGAACCUCUGGUGUUCCUGUUGUCGCGCCAGCGGCAUUGCAGGGUAGCUAUGUUCGGAAUAGAUAACCGCUGAAAGCAUCUAAGCGGGAAGCUAACUACGAGAUUAGAUCUCUCUGGGCCUUCGGGCCCCUAAAGACCCCUUGGAGACUACGAGGUUGAUAGGUGGAGGGUGUACAUACAGUAAUGUAUUCAGCCGAUCCAUACUAAUAGGUCGUGAGGCUUUUUAC